UCGAUUCCCUUAGUAGCGGCGAGCGAAACGGGAAGAGCCCAAACCAACAAGCUUGCUUGUUGGGGUUGUAGGACACUCUAUACGGAGUUACAAAGGACGACAUUAGACGAAUCAUCUGGAAAGAUGAAUCAAAGAAGGUAAUAAUCCUGUAGUCGAAAAUGUUGUCUCUCUUGAGUGGAUCCUGAGUACGACGGAGCACGUGAAAUUCCGUCGGAAUCUGGGAGGACCAUCUCCUAAGGCUAAAUACUCUCUAGUGACCGAUAGUGAACCAGUACCGUGAGGGAAAGGUGAAAAGCACCCCGGAAGGGGAGUGAAAUAGAACCUGAAACCGUGUGCUUACAAGUAGUCAGAGCCCGUUAAUGGGUGAUGGCGUGCCUUUUGUAGAAUGAACCGGCGAGUUACGAUUUGAUGCAAGGUUAAGCAGUAAAUGUGGAGCCGUAGCGAAAGCGAGUCUGAAUAGGGCGUUUAGUAUUUGGUCGUAGACCCGAAACCAGGUGAUCUACCCUUGGUCAGGUUGAAGUUCAGGUAACACUGAAUGGAGGACCGAACCGACUUACGUUGAAAAGUGAGCGGAUGAACUGAGGGUAGCGGAGAAAUUCCAAUCGAACCUGGAGAUAGCUGGUUCUCUCCGAAAUAGCUUUAGGGCUAGCCUCAAGUGAUGAUUAUUGGAGGUAGAGCACUGUUUGGACGAGGGGCCCCUCUCGGGUUACCGAAUUCAGACAAACUCCGAAUGCCAAUUAAUUUAACUUGGGAGUCAGAACAUGGGUGAUAAGGUCCGUGUUCGAAAGGGAAACAGCCCAGACCACCAGCUAAGGUCCCAAAAUAUAUGUUAAGUGGAAAAGGAUGUGGCGUUGCCCAGACAACUAGGAUGUUGGCUUAGAAGCAGCCAUCAUUUAAAGAGUGCGUAAUAGCUCACUAGUCGAGUGACACUGCGCCGAAAAUGUACCGGGGCUAAACAUAUUACCGAAGCUGUGGAUUGUCCUUUGGACAAUGGUAGGAGAGCGUUCUAAGGGCGUUGAAGCAUGAUCGUAAGGACAUGUGGAGCGCUUAGAAGUGAGAAUGCCGGUGUGAGUAGCGAAAGACGGGUGAGAAUCCCGUCCACCGAUUGACUAAGGUUUCCAGAGGAAGGCUCGUCCGCUCUGGGUUAGUCGGGUCCUAAGCUGAGGCCGACAGGCGUAGGCGAUGGAUAACAGGUUGAUAUUCCUGUACCACCUAUAAUCGUUUUAAUCGAUGGGGGGACGCAGUAGGAUAGGCGAAGCGUGCGAUUGGAUUGCACGUCUAAGCAGUAAGGCUGAGUAUUAGGCAAAUCCGGUACUCGUUAAGGCUGAGCUGUGAUGGGGAGAAGACAUUGUGUCUUCGAGUCGUUGAUUUCACACUGCCGAGAAAAGCCUCUAGAUAGAAAAUAGGUGCCCGUACCGCAAACCGACACAGGUAGUCAAGAUGAGAAUUCUAAGGUGAGCGAGCGAACUCUCGUUAAGGAACUCGGCAAAAUGACCCCGUAACUUCGGGAGAAGGGGUGCUCUUUAGGGUUAACGCCCAGAAGAGCCGCAGUGAAUAGGCCCAAGCGACUGUUUAUCAAAAACACAGGUCUCUGCUAAACCGUAAGGUGAUGUAUAGGGGCUGACGCCUGCCCGGUGCUGGAAGGUUAAGAGGAGUGGUUAGCUUCUGCGAAGCUACGAAUCGAAGCCCCAGUAAACGGCGGCCGUAACUAUAACGGUCCUAAGGUAGCGAAAUUCCUUGUCGGGUAAGUUCCGACCCGCACGAAAGGCGUAACGAUUUGGGCACUGUCUCAACGAGAGACUCGGUGAAAUCAUAGUACCUGUGAAGAUGCAGGUUACCCGCGACAGGACGGAAAGACCCCGUGGAGCUUUACUGUAGCCUGAUAUUGAAAUUCGGCACAGCUUGUACAGGAUAGG
rnacentral:rRNA from 1 species